GUAAGUGUGCAUGCAGCACCAUCUCAGCCCUGUGCAUCCUGGACCGCACCAACAAACAGCACCACACAGCUUGGGGACCAUGUCCAGAUUCACACGCAGACGAUAAGCACCGUGGCCAAUACCCAAGCGUUAGAUAAUUAAAGGUCCCUCCAAGGAUAAACACAAGUAAGAGUGGAAGCAAAGGAAGUGCACACGCUUGUCUCAAGAAAGACAGGGUUCCAUUUCCCAAUGCUUUCAUCAGUUUCACUGUCUUCUGCGAGGCUGAAUUUCCCUAAUUAAGGGCAGUGGGAGACGCUCCACAUUUGGAGUCCCUGUGAGGCAGCAAAGAUGGAGAGCUGAGACUGACCAUCCAGAAUCCAGGUGUGCCUUCGCCACACAGAACAACAAGCAUCGUUGAUGCCUCUAGAGCACAGUGGAGGAGAGAACUGGAGAAGAGGCACGGAGACCGCCAAGCGUUCCAGGUGCAGGCGGCAGGAGGGAGCCCAGGAUGCCGGCAGAGCGAGCCUUGGUCUGUGAACCCCAGGGCCGAUGGGCACCGGCUCAUCUAAUUCAUUUGUGUACAGAUCCACAAAACUGCACCUGGCUGUGGCCGUCAGCACCACACAAAUCCAGAGAAAGGAGCCAAAAGGAAAUACCAGGCAGAGGGAACAGCGUGGAUAAAGGCAAAGCUGAGAAGAGGUUCUGAAGGAUGGAAUCCCAGAUCAAGGAGCCAGCAGAUGUGGUGGUGUGGACCCACUUCCUGGUUCAUAGAGGACCUUCCCACUGUGCCCUCAUACAGUGAAGGGGUAAGAGAGCUCCGUGGGGUCUCUUUUAGAAGGGCACUAAAC
rnacentral:lncRNA from 10 species